ensembl:lncRNA
AACAAUUUCUAUUUUAAUUGAGCAUAUAUGUCUACCUUAGACAUAGGAUCUUUUUCAUCAGUAAAAGUUCAGCUAAUGGGCCGGGGAUUUAGCUCAGUGGUUUCGCCACCUGCUGAGCAAGCGCAAGAACCCGAGUUCGAUCCCCGGUACCAAAAAAACAAAACAACAAAAGUUCAGCUAAAAAAUUUAAGUUUUGAGUAGGUUGAUACAUUUAUAUGGUUCAAAAUGGAGAAGUUCAAAAAGUAAGAUAGAAAAAAUUUCUUCCUAUCUUGUUUCAUAGUUGCCAAUUCUUUCUGUUCUAGUGGCAGCAAAUACUGGUAUUCCCAAUUUUUGUGUGACUUUUAAAUACAAAAUACAUGCAACAAAUAUGUAUGUAUAUAUUCUUUUUCCUCCUUUAGAGACAGAUGGUAGCACCCUGUACACCUUCCUUUGCUUUUUUUCAUUUACAGUGCAUAUUGGAGAUCAUUCCAUAUCACUGCACAAAGAGCUUCAUCUUCACAACUGCAUCAUAAUUUAGAAAUCACCCUUUUGUGUGUGUGUGGUACUGAGGAUUGAAUGCAGAGCCUUUACACUGAGCUACAUCCCCAGCCCUUUAUAGUUUUGUUUUUUAUUUUGUUAUUUAUUCACUAAGUUGCCCAGGCUGGACUAAAAUUUGCAGUCCUGCCUCAGGCUCCCAAAGUGCUGGGUUGACAUGUGUGUGCCACCAUGGUUUAGAAAUCAGCUUUUAAAAAAUAUGCUCUCAUAAAAAUUAAAAUAUAAAUCUGUUCGGAAUUAUUUUUCCAAGGCCAAAAACAUAUUAAAGAUGAAGUGGGCCGGGGAUUUAGCUCAGUAGUGCCGCCACCUACCUCGUAAGCACAAGGCCCAGAGUUCAAUCCCUGUUACAAAAAAAAAAGUUGAAGUUAUUUUCUCUUUUGAUUUCUUUCUUUUCUUUUUUUUUUGUGGAACCAGGGAUCGAACUCAAGAUCUUGUGCUUGCCAGGCAGGUGUGGCGCCGCUAAGCUACAUACCCACCCCUAUUUUCUCUUUUGUUAAGUAAUUUCUGUUUCUUCAAAGGUAGAUGAAUUUGUUCUCUAGUUUCUGGUACUGUGGGACUUGAUGGUAUUAGAACCAAGUAGCCUUGCCCAGUUGUUCCUCUUUGGGAAUAAAAGUCAUUCAUAAUGGCUGGAAGAAGGGGAUUUUGAGUCCAACCUGAGGCAGCCAUGACAAGUUAUGUAACCUUAGAAAUUACUGUGAGUUUCUUCUAUUUCAGGAAAAUAGCCUAAAUAUUUUACAUACUUUUAUUCAAAUCUGAAGCAGGAUAGCAUGCAUUAAAACCUAGAUAUGCCACUCAGUUAUGUAACCUUUGGCAGGUCACUUAACCGUACAAAGAUUUUGUGUCUUUAGGGAUAUCAGCAGCAUGGUGGUACAUGCCUGAAAUCCCACCACUCUGGGAGGCUGAGGUGGGAGAAUCACAAGUCUUAGCCCAGGGCCAGGGGUUUGGCUCAGUGGUUCCACCGCCUGCCCUGCAAGCACAGGGUCCUGAGUUCAAUCCCCUUCCACCCCUGUUCCAAAAAAAAAGUCUUGAGCCCAGCCUCAGCAAUUUAGUGACUUAGGGAGACCCUGUCUCAGUGUUUAAAAAAUUUUAAAGGGCUAGAGAUACAGCUCAGUGCAAAGGCCCUGGGUUCAGUCACUGAUAUGCCAAGAAAAAUUUUAAAAAUCCCUAAAUCAUUGGAUUGCUGGGAGGAUUAAAUGGGAUAGCCUACUUGAGUGUGGUGGCACACAUCUAUAAUCCCAGCAUUCUGGGGAGCUGAGACAGGAUGAUGUCCAGUUUGAGCCCAGCACAAUUUAGCAACUUAGCGAGACCCUGUCUAAAAAAUAAAACAUAAAAAUAAAAAGGGCUGGGCCAGGGAUUUGGCUCAGUGGUUUUGCCGCCUGCUGCACAAGCGCAAGGACCCAAAUUCAAGCCCUGGUACAAAAAAAAAGAAAAAAAAAAGAAUAAGAGAAAGAGAACUGGAGAUGAAUUCUAACCCAUCAGUACUGUAGGCAGCAUAAGCCACGUUCUUUCCUAUAGUGCUUAAACUCUAAGUGCUACAUUUAAAAACAUAUCUUUACCCAGGAAAGACUAAAUUUGUUAUGCUUAGAAUUUAUUUUUUUCAUGAAUGGUAUUUAUAUUGUAGUUUAUCAACUGUCUUUUUUUUUUUUUUUUUUUUUUUGGUACCGGGGAUUGAACUCAGGACCUUGCGCAAGGCAGGUGGCAGAACCACUGAGCUAAAUCCCCGGACCAACUGUCUUUUUAUAUAUUCUCUUCAAAUUCAGAAGUUUCUUAAGUAACUGUGUCCAAAAUAUUUUUAUUCUUAUUUUGUCUAUACCAUAGUAAAUUUCAUAGUGGCCCCUCCGUAAACAUGUUUGAGCAUUUUCCCAGUGAGCCUCACAGCUAAUUCCAGGUUUUUUUUUUAUAACCUGUACACAUGGACAAAAAUAUCCAUGGGGUAAUGUUUACUUUGUCUCUCUUUAAUUAGCAUGCUAGGAACUUAUUCUGAUGAGUUUGGGAACUUAGAUUUUGAGCGAUCCCAGCAUGGUUCUGGAAUGAGCAACAGGUCAACAGCAAAAGAUUUAUUUCUGCUCUCAACAAUAUUGCUGAAAGAACUUACAAUAAUUUGUUUCAAUUUCAUCAACUUCGGCAGAUUGCCAAAGAACUAAACAUUCAGGUUGCUGAUUUUGAAAAUUUCAUUGGUUACUAAAUGACCAGGGAUACCUCUUGAAAAAAGGCCCAAAAGUUUACCAACUUCAAACUAUGUGAAAAGACUUUUAUCAACUCAGGACCUUCUGGGUUUAUUGCCAUCUUAAGUUGUCUCAAUAGUGAACACUAUGCCAAAAAAAAAAAGUUUCUUGAAAAAUGUUGUUCCGAAAGUAAAUAGGAAAAAAGUGUUAAGAUUUGGUCAACUAAUUUAAAAAUUAAAAUGUCCUAUGCUGUUAAUGUUUUAUAACUUCUCCCAAAGGCUAAAAAUAACUUAUUUUUUUCUAAAUGAUAUACAUUAUUUAUGGUUAUACUUUUGACUUAUUUGUAUGAAUAUUUCAUAGUUCUUCAUAUCAAAUGUUCAUCAGGGUAAGCAUUCAGAUAACAUCUAAACAAAUGAGUAUGUCUGUGUGCCAAUAAAACUUAUUCAACAUGGAAAUUUCAAUUUCAUAAAAUUUUCACUAAAGUAUAAAGUAUUUUUACUUUUUUAACCAUGUACUGUAAUCAUUAUAGCCAGUGUGUCUGAUUUGGCCCCUAGUCUAUAGUUUGCAAACAACAGAAACUGAUGAAGCAGGAAAAGGAG